rnacentral:rRNA from 1 species
AUUGAACGCUGGCGGCAUACCUUACACAUGCAAGUCGAACGGUAACAGGUCUUCGGAUGCUGACGAGUGGCGAACGGGUGAGUAAUACAUCGGAACGUGCCUAGUAGUGGGGGAUAACUACUCGAAAGAGUGGCUAAUACCGCAUGAGAUCUACGGAUGAAAGCAGGGGAUCGCAAGACCUUGUGCUACUAGAGCGGCCGAUGGCAGAUUAGGUAGUUGGUGGGAUAAAAGCUUACCAAGCCGACGAUCUGUAGCUGGUCUGAGAGGACGAUCAGCCACACUGGGACUGAGACACGGCCCAGACUCCUACGGGAGGCAGCAGUGGGGAAUUUUGGACAAUGGGCGAAAGCCUGAUCCAGCAAUGCCGCGUGCAGGAUGAAGGCCUUCGGGUUGUAAACUGCUUUUGUACGGAACGAAAAGCCCUGGGUUAAUACCCUGGGGUCACGACGGUACCGUAAGAAUAAGCACCGGCUAACUACGUGCCAGCCGCCGCAGUAA